CAUAAUUGACCCUUCUGCCUUACUUCUUCCGACAAUUCCGAAUAAAGCCCAACUCUACAAACCCCAGACCCUAUUUCCUUUUAUUCCCUUCCAGCUCAUUUCUUCAACCUUAGUCGCCACCCUCCAAAACCCACUCCCUCACAAUAUUCCAGGUGCAAACAACCCCAACUCCCCAUCAAACAACCCCGAACCCGCCUCAGAACAACUCUCCAAACACCCCAAACGACCUUCUCUAGCCACCGAACUUCGGUGAGCCACAAACCCUUCGCUCUUUUUCUCUAACAACCAGACCCACCUUUGUUCUUCCUAACAACUAGAAAUCGACCGGGAUCCGACGAAUAGACAACCAAAAUGAAGCUCUAAGCACGCUAGUGCAAAUCAAAACCAGACCACCGUGAUGCCAACAUAACUUCGGUAAAGAGGUACUCGAAGAUGUUUAAAAUUGGAGUUAUUCGAACAAAGUUUUAAAUGUAUUGUGUAUUCAUUAUUGUGUAUAUUAUUGACGUUAGGCAAACCUUAAGACGAUUUUUACAUUAUUAUUUUAUAUAUUAUUUGUGUA